rnacentral:rRNA from 1 species
AUGACCCUAUGGUUUGAGCUACUAGAAAUUGUUAACUUCAUCCAGUACACUGAUCUAGAGGAUUCCCUGGUUUGGAAUAUGAAUUCCAAAGGGGUAUAUACAGUCAAAUCCUUCUACAAGUUUGUUAAUUUUAGGGGUGUGCUGCCGGUUGGCUCCCCUGCUGUUUGGUCUAUCAAGAUUCCUCCUAGGAUACAUAUUUUUCUAUGGCUCUUAGCUAAUAACAAACUGCUAACUAGGGAUAACCUAGGUAAAAGGCAAGCAGUUUUGGACCCUACUUAUGUUUUUUGCUCUGAGCUAGAGUCUUGUUUCCAUUUAUUUUUCGGUUGUGUUGUUGCUGCUGAGUUCUGGAAAGCGAUCUGUAGGCUGAUUGGAUUUAGAGGUGACAUUAAUAUGAUGUCCUUCUCAUCCCGUUGGCACAGAGGAGAUGGAUUUGCUGCGGUUAAUGUUAUUCAUGCAGCCGGUCUAUGGGCUCUCUGUAAAACUCGCAAUGACAUGGUUUUCAAUUCUGUUGUUUGGCAUGGGAUGCAAGCUAUUUGGUGA